rnacentral:rRNA from 1 species
UACGUAGGGUGCGAGCGUUGUCCGGAAUUAUUGGGCGUAAAGGGCUCGUAGGCGGUUUGUCGCGUCGGGAGUGAAAACCUCGGGCUUAACUCGGGGCUUGCUUUCGAUACGGGCAGACUAGAGGUAUGCAGGGGAGAACGGAAUUCCUGGUGUAGCGGUGAAAUGCGCAGAUAUCAGGAGGAACACCAAUGGCGAAGGCAGCUCGCUGGAACGGUACUGACGCUGAGGCGCGAAAGCGUGGGGGAGCGAACAGG